rnacentral:lncRNA from 1 species
CAUUCGUAUGCUACUUAGUGUAGCAAGACAGUGCAUAAACCCUGUUCAUCACAAAAUUUUUUACAUUAUAAUUCUGUUUUAUUGUAAGCAAUAGGUUUGCAAAUAAAUAAUUUUACAGGUUCAAACUCAAAGCAUUCAUUGGUUUAUUAAGAUAAAUUUGCAAAGCUAAUAUUGUCGGCUGCUUUCCUAGUCUAUGGUUUUGUUCUAGUUCUCUUAACUGUAUUCUUUUGUCCACCUUUUGUAUAGGAAAUAUACUAUUUUCUCCCCUUCUGUGUAUUCUUGGAAGAGGGGAUAAAUAUCAACAGUGAUGGAAUCUACUCUAAUUGCUUGCCAAGACUAAAAAUCCAUAAACAACUCUGUUUGUCAAAGGAAUGCUGCAUAAAAAUUUUCGUACAGACAGAAAGAAGAUUAGGACAAAUUUACAAAAGCAAUCUUUAUUCUUCUUUACAUAAAACUGCAUAUAUAACUGCAUUAAGAGAGAAGAUAAUAUCCAGGAAAAUAGUCCAGGACUGGCACAACUGUUCUAGGAAGUUACCAAGGCUCUGCAAAGGCAUCUGAGGGGGAGAGCUGAUUUUAAUUGGAACUCUAAUACAAUUCCAUUACAGUCAAGGUCUGUAAAGGUGACACAUGGAAAUAGAGGACUUUGCACGUGAGGGCGAUCUGGCUGCAACAGUCUUUCAUGUCAUUGAUUGUCAGGGUUGAUUUGGCUGCUCUGGCUACCUAGGUGAGUCUCCCCUUCCUGCCUCAUUGCUCCAUGUGCAUCCUUUCUGAAGCUGCAUGCUUGGUCAAAAGGGAGGACCAUUUCCAAUAGAGGACUGGUCUUUGGUCAAGGGUAUACAAGUAACUGCACUCCCCUGCUAGAACCUCCAAAGAAGCUCUCAAGGAAAUAUAGGACCCACAAAAUAAGCCUCUCCCCAUUUUUUGUCAAUUGACAGCAGCAAAUUUUCUAUCUUAGCC